rnacentral:rRNA from 1 species
AACCAGCACCUCAAGUGGUCAGGAUGAUUAUUGGGCCUAAAGCAUCCGUAGCCUGCUCUGUUAGUUUUCGGUCAAAUCCAUGUGCUCAACACAUGGGCUGCCGAAAAUACUGCAGAGCUAGGGAGUGGGAGAGGUAGACGGUACUCAGUAGGAAGGGGUAAAAUCCUUUGAUCUAUUGAUGACCACCUGUGGCGAAGGCGGUCUACCAGAACACGUUCGACGGUGAGGGAUGAAAGCUGGGGGAGCAAACCGG